rnacentral:rRNA from 1 species
UACACUCCUACGGGAGGCAGCAGUAGGGAAUCUUCGGCAAUGGGGGCAACCCUGACCGAGCAACGCCGCGUGAGUGAAGAAGGUUUUCGGAUCGUAAAGCUCUGUUGUAAGUCAAGAACGAGUGUGAGAGUGGAAAGUUCACACUGUGACGGUAGCUUACCAGAAAGGGACGGCUAACUACGUGCCAGCAGCCGCGGUAAUACGUAGGUCCCGAGCGUUGUCCGGAUUUAUUGGGCGUAAAGCGAGCGCAGGCGGUUUGAUAAGUCUGAAGUUAAAGGCUGUGGCUCAACCAUAGUUCGCUUUGGAAACUGUCAAACUUGAGUGCAGAAGGGGAGAGUGGAAUUCCAUGUGUAGCGGUGAAAUGCGUAGAUAUAUGGAGGAACACCGGUGGCGAAAGCGGCUCUCUGGUCUGUAACUGACGCUGAGGCUCGAAAGCGUGGGGAGCGAACAGGAUUAGAAACCCUAGUAGUCCUA